rnacentral:rRNA from 1 species
CCUACGGGUGGCUGCAGUGGGGAAUAUUGCACAAUGGGGGAAACCCUGAUGCAGCGACGCCGCGUGAGCGAAGAAGUAUCUCGGUAUGGAAAGCUCUAUCAGCAGGGGAGAAAAUGACGUUACCUGACUAAGCAGCCCCGGCUAACUACGUGCCAGCAGCCGCGGUCACACUUCGGGGGCAAGCGUUAUCCGGAUUUACUGGGGGUAAAGGGGGCGAGGGCGGGGCGGUAAGUCUGAUGGGAAAGACCGGGGGUCAACCCCGGUCGUGCAUUGGAAACUGUCGUGCUGGAGUGCCGGAGGGGUAAGUGGAAUUCCUGGUGUAGCGGUGAAAUGCGUAGAUAUUAGGAGGAACACCAGUGGCGAAGGCGGCUUACUGGACGACAACUGACGCUGAGGCUCGAAAGCGUGGGGAGCGAACAGGAUUAGAUACCCUUGUAGUC